ACCCUUAAAGUUGAAAUCCAAUAUUAGAUUGCAAAUCUAAAGAUAAUAAGGGUA
rnacentral:tRNA from 1 species